CAGAAUUUAGAAGAUUAAAGAUUUGAUUCUUGCAAGUUCUCCCACCGAUCAAGAAUUUCGAGGAUUAAGGAUUUGAUUGUUGCAGGUUCUCCCAUUUAUAAAGGGUAACAAAAUACAAGCAGUGAUGUACGGAGAUACUAUCGAAAAGUUUAUAGAUAUACUUCAAAAAAAUCAAAUUAUUUUCAUUUCAAAUGGAGAAGUGAAAGGAAUAAACCCAGCUUUUCCAAGUAUCCACAAGUCACUUGAAUUAGUACUAACA